UGCCUGUGAAAUUAUACACAAAGUUGCACAAACAUCAAGAAGAACCUGUACAAUGCUAUAUAUGCCUUGUGGAGUAUGAGGAUGGAGACAGCAUGCGAGUACUGCCUUGUCAUCAUGAAUUUCAUAGAACAUGUGUAGACAAGUGGCUGAAGGAGAUUCACAGGGUAUGCCCACUAUGUAGGGGGGACAUCUGUAUAUCUGAUUCACUGCCAACAUAGAACAAAAGUGGCA